GUUCCGCCCUAGCAGCACGUAAAUAUUGGUGUAGUAAAAUAAACCUUAAACCCCAAUGUUAUCGUGCUGCUUAAGCGUGGC
rfam:Pygoscelis adeliae contig27364, whole genome shotgun sequence.